AGUGAACGCUGGCGGUAGGCCUAACACAUGCAAGUCGAACGGCAGCACAGAGGAGCUUGCUCCUUGGGUGGCGAGUGGCGGACGGGUGAGGAAUACAUCGGAAUCUACUCUGUCGUGGGGGAUAACGUAGGGAAACUUACGCUAAUACCGCAUACGACCUACGGGUGAAAGCAGGGGAUCUUCGGACCUUGCGCGAUUGAAUGAGCCGAUGUCGGAUUAGCUAGUUGGCGGGGUAAAGGCCCACCAAGGCGACGAUCCGUAGCCGGUCUGAAAGGGUGAUCAGCCACAUUGGUACGCAGACACGGUCCAGACUCCGACGUGAGGCAGCAGUGGGGGAUAUUGGACAAUGGGCGCAAGCCUGACUCAGCCAUGCCGCGUGGGUGAAGAAGGCCUUCGGGUUGUAAAGCCCUUUUGUUGGGAAAGAAAUCCAUCUGGUUAAUACCCGGGUGGGAUGACGGUACCCAAAGAAUAAGCACCGGCUAACUUCGUGCCAGCAGCCGCCGUAA
rnacentral:rRNA from 1 species